rnacentral:rRNA from 1 species
AUGGCGAGGGUGAUGCACCGGUCGAGCUCGGACGGCGGGUCGAGCAGCGGGUGGUCGGAGGCGGCCGCGGCGGCGGCGGGGGAGGAGGAGAGGGCCGGAUGGGAGGUGCGGCCGAGCGGGAUGGUCGUGCAGGCCCGGGACAGGGGCGCCGACGGCGCCGCGGCGGGGGUGCCGCCCAGGCCGCCGCCGCCGGAGAUCAGGGUGCGGGUCAAGUACGGCGCCGCCACCCACGAGGUCGCCGUCUCCUCCAUUGCCACCUUCGGUGAGCUGAAGAAGGCGCUGGCGCCGAGGACGGGGCUGCAGCCGUCGGAGCAGCUGGUGACGUACAAGGGGCGGGAGCGGAAGAACUCGGAGUUCUUGGACAGGUUCGGCGUCAAGAACAAGUCCAAGCUGGUGGUGUCCGAGGACCCGGCGAGCCUGGAGCGGCGCUACAUCGAGCGGCAGAGGAACGCCAGGAUCCAGAACGCCAACCGCGCCAUCGGCGCCAUCGCCCUCGAGCUCGACAAGCUCGCCGAUCAGGUGACGAGCAUCGAGAAGUCGGUGUCCGGCGGGAGCAAGGUGGCGGAGGUGCAGAUCACGACGCUGAUCGAGCUGCUGAUGCGGCACGCGGUGAAGCUGGAGAGCAUACCUGCCGACGCCGACACCUCCUCGCAGAAGAACCUCCAGGCGAAGCGGGUGCAGAAGUGCGUGGAGGCGCUGGACGUGCUCAAGGUGUCCAACGGGCGGCUGCAGACGGUGGUGGUGACCACCAAGUGGGAGACGUUCGACAGCAGCCCCCCGGUCACCACCAAGUGGGAGAUCUUCGACUGA